rnacentral:rRNA from 1 species
GAUGAACGCUGGCGGCGUGCCUAAUACAUGCAAGUCGAGCGAAUGGAUUAAGAGCUUGCUCUUAUGAAGUUAGCGGCGGACGGGUGAGUAACACGUGGGUAACCUGCCCAUAAGACUGGGAUAACUCCGGGAAACCGGGGCUAAUACCGGAUAACAUUUUGAACCGCAUGGAUCGAAAUUGAAAUGCGGCUUCGGCUGUCCCUUAUGGAUGGACCCGCGUCGCAUUAGCUAGUUGGUGAGGUAACGGCUCACCAAGGCAACGAUGCGUAGCCGACCUGAGAGGGUGAUCGGCCACACUGGGACUGAGACACGGCCCAGACUCCUACGGGAGGCAGCAGUAGGGAAUCUUCCGCAAUGGACGAAAGUCUGACGGAGCAACGCCGCGUGAGUGAUGAAGGCUUUCGGGUCGUAAAACUCUGUUGUUAGGGAAGAACAAGUGCUAGUUGAAUAAGCUGGCACCUUGACGGUACCUAACCAGAAAGCCACGGCUAACUAUGUGCCAGCCGCCGCGGUAA